UGGACGAAGUCUGACGGAGCACGCCGCGUGAACGAUGAAGGCUUUCGGGUCGUAAAGUUCUGUUGUCAGGGAAGAACAAGUACCGGAGUAACUGCCGGUACCUUGACGGUACCUGACCAGAAAGCCACGGCUAACUACGUGCCAGCAGCCGCGGUAAUACGUAGGUGGCAAGCGUUGUCCGGAAUUAUUGGGCGUAAAGCGCGCGCAGGCGGUUCCUUAAGUCUGAUGUGAAAGCCCCCGGCUCAACCGGGGAGGGUCAUUGGAAACUGGGGAACUUGAGUGCAGAAGAGGAGAGCGGAAUUCCACGUGUAGCGGUGAAAUGCGUAGAGAUGUGGAGGAACACCAGUGGCGAAGGCGGCUCUCUGGUCUGUAACUGACGCUGAGGCGCGAAAGCGUGGGGAGCGAACAGGAUUAGAUACCCUGGUAGUCCACGCCGUAAACGAUGAGUGCUAAGUGUUAGAGGGUUUCCGCCCUUUAGUGCUGCAGCAAACGCAUUAAGCACUCCGCCUGGGGAGUACGGCCGCAAGGCUGAAACUCAAAGGAAUUGACGGGGGCCCGCACAAGCGGUGGAGCAUGUGGUUUAAUUCGAAGCAACGCGAAGAACCUUACCAGGUCUUGACAUCCUCUGACAACCCUAGAGAUAGGGCGUUCCCCUUCGGGGGACAGAGUGACAGGUGGUGCAUGGUUGUCGUCAGCUCGUGUCGUGAGAUGUUGGGUUAAGUCCCGCAACGAGCGCAACCCUUGAUCUUAGUUGCCAGCAUUCAGUUGGGCACUCUAAGGUGACUGCCGGGUGACAAACCGGAGAAGGUGGGGAUGACGUCAAA
rnacentral:rRNA from 1 species